rnacentral:misc_RNA from 1 species
UUGAAUUAUUGCUGUUUAUAAGGGUUGAAAUUUUAUGUAACACAUAUCUUUAGUGCUCAUGCCUUAGAAACAAAUUAUCUAAGAUGAUAAAGUGCAAUUUCUUUUCCAUAAUAUUAUGCAAGGGGGAGGUCCUAGUUUGGUUAUGCAAUUAAUUUAUUUAGGUUUGACCAAAUAAAUUUAAAUUUAAUAUAAUUUUAAAGGUUAUCAUUUUCUUUAAAUGAUCUAAAAGAAGGAGAAUGGCAAGAUGCCGUGUGUUAUAACCAUCUCUAACCUAUAGAGACGGAUGCAACUUGGGAAACUGAUAGAGUUUCCUCUAAAAAUAUAGCUAAUGGAACAUAUUGAACCUGCAAAAAUACAUAUGAACAUAUAUAGAAUAUGGCUCCAUGCCAGUCAAAGAUAUUUAGAAACACAUAUAUACAAUUAUCCUCUUUGUGAGGAUUAAAAUUUAAAAAGAAAAUAUUUAUAGUCCAAAGUGCUAGAAUGGAGAAGAAUAGAGAAACAUCGUAGAAUAUAGGGAGGAAGAUAAGUAGAAUAGGAGAAGAGAAAGGAGAUAUUAAGACCCCUGGGUCUAACAUAACUCUUGAACCAAAUCCUCCUUGUGAUCUCCCUUGCGUUGGCCAAGCACUACAUAAGUAAGGGAAUAGGUUAAUUAUUUUUUGGGUAAUUAUAGAGCAAACUUUUCUAACUUUGUUUUAAGAGUAAGACGCUACUAAUAUCUCUGGAAUCAAUUACAAGAAGAAAAGAGUGGAGAGGAUUUUGGCUUGAGAUAAGAAGAGAAAGUUGUCUUCCAAAAAAUUCCACCAAAUGAAAGAAGGAAAUAGCUUUUUAUACUUUGGGGAUUCCCACAUUCCUAACGUGGAUAGAAUUCUCUAAUUUUUAGAGAUUCUAAUCUCUAAACUCAAUUAGUGUAGAUUUGUUGUCUCCUGCUAAUCUUAUCAACUUUAUAAAUGUCAUCAUCUCAUCUAACCAAGUAGAUGAGUUGCCACUAUCUUAUGGUGUCACUUGUCAAAUUAAGCCAAAAUCUUCCAAGCAACAGAGCUAUUUUUUCUUAUGGCUUCAUAAGCCAUAUUAGCCAAAUAAAGUCUCCUACCUUACAAUUUAUAUCACAUUUAAAUUGCAAAUUAAUUAAACUAUUUUAAUUAAUUAAGCUUAUAUUUAAACACUUCAAAUAUGAGCUAAUAUCUUUCUUACAAACCUAGUUGCUUGAAUUUAAUUUUAAGUUAUGCUAGAAACUUUACAAUCUAAUUG